AUGUUAGUUGUGUAGUUUAGUAGCAUUUUGGGGUGUUUGUGGAUCCCGGGGUGUUACACAGGUGGUGACACAGAAUCCUUAUCAGAGGAAACUCAGGAUACACCAAUAAAAAAGAUCUAAUUGGCCUAUCCUAAUUCUUGCAUUCCUCGAGUGAACUGUGAACCCAGAUAAAAGUAUUCUUGAUGCACAAACCUGAAAAGAAAAACAAGUUGUUAGGAAAAUUAAUGUAACAAUGUUUUAUUCCCAAAAUACACAUAUAAAAAUGAAGCAUUCCAUAUUCCAUAAACUAGCUGAGCUAAGGACCUAAUGUGCUUCCAAUCAACUAGUUGUGAGCGCAAGUCCCUAUACAUUUCUAGCAGAAAGAUUUUCCAUUUUCCAUUUUUUUCAUGAUGCUGAAAUUCACUUACUAUCAAUUGGCUACUAGUGAUGGUAAUGCACUUUUUUGGCACAAAGGUGCCACGCCUACCCAUUUCCACCCAAUACCACCCACCAGGAAAGAUACUCGUACACUCAGUGGACUAAUUUUAAUUAUUAUCAUAUGGAUGACAUUUCACUUGUAAUACCCUCUAACAGUUCAGCAGAGCUAAAAUCUUUUAUAGAGAUUUCACGAGCUUUUUCAAAUAGUUGGUCCUCAUCCUAUAUAACACCAACACUAUUAAUUUUUAUAAUGAUGACCAUAAAAAUAAAAUGUAUCCUUAAUCACUCAUAUCUUGUCAAAACUAAAAGGGAUGAACAUCCUAAAAUUUGACUAGUCAAAAAGAAAUAUAUAGAACUUGGGUAUCGUAGAUAAGUAAAUGAUGUGAGUAAAUAAAUUACACAUAUUUGGAUCAGACGUUUUAGACCGAUAAUACAACAUGCUCCUAUGUCAUAAAAAGUUCAAUUGAGAACUGAUUUUACCAAUGCAAAGAUCGUUUGUUGAUGCUUGACUGUAUUGUAGCGCGCUGCGCCAUCGCCCGUGCACCCCGCACAGCUGCAUGCUCGCUCGCUCACGUGUCGCGUCCGCUGCAAAUGAUAAUGUGAUAUGAAACUGAACUUAAUUCUAGGAACCUACAGUUCAAAAUAAUAGACAAGAACUAAGAUAUGUGCAAGCAAGUGCAUUCACCAUUCCUUUCUUGAGCAACGGUUUGAGAGGUAUAGUGUAUAUUAGCAGUACAUGUCAUUCAACUCGUCCUUCAUUUUUUCAUGACAAGCCUUGGAUUUUAGACCAGAUGAAGAUGGUUCAUCUCUACCCCUGCAUAGAAAAAAGUAUUUAUAUUGUUAUUGUAGAGCAAAACAUAAGGAAAUACCACAUACAAGUCGAAUGUUAUGUUCAUAGUGUUAGUGAUUGCAUUGGCAAGCACAAGAAAAUGAAACACACCAGGACACAUGGGAAUUGAAAUUUGAUGGAAGAUAAUUUACAACAAUAUGCUAUACAACCACUAUUAUCUGUUUGCAUUUUCACACUUAAAUGUCUUACAAUCCUGAUGGCGUUUUAAAACCUUUAAAGCCCAAUGUUUCAUGUUUACCCCAUGAAAAGGAAGGACAAGAUGCCCAAAUAAACACACACACAAUGGAUAGAAACUUGGCAAAGUUCAACUACAUGCAUCUCAAUGGAUACCCUCAAUCCCAAGUCUGCUAUAAAUUGCAAAGUAAGUACCAAAUGCCACACUAGGAAAUACAUAGAGGAAAUGAAAGUGCAUAGUAGCUGCUCAAGUAUAUAAUAAACCAUUGUGGUGCUAGCAUUUCAGACAGAAGAUAAAGAAGAAAAUAUCUAGGAACAUGAUAAUGUAAACCAUUACAAUAUGUUAUAUAAUGCAUGAUGAGUAAUGAAGAAUGCUAUUCCAGCUAGCACACAAGCUUCAAUUGCUUGUAGAUAGAUGAUGCCAGCAACAUAAAUCAUAUAUAACAAGUGUUUGUUAACCAACAAAGUUGCAUAUCACGCAUUCGCAGGUAUCGGUUAUCAAUCAAAAUCAAAUCAAAUUUCUUACACAACAUAAUCUAAAGGAGCUCAUCCCACAACACCAUCCAGCACCCACAAAACCCCCCAUACCCAUUCAACAAAGAAUUAGAAUUAACAAAUUUACCACUUCAGAUAGCAGGAAAAAUCUCAGCGCACAUUCUUAGUUAGUUCUUACUGUUGUUAAUAAGCGCCAUCAGGCGAAGGUAAUGAAUGGUCAAUUGAUCAUAAAGCAACACACUAUACAAACCUGAAGGAUCCAAGACGAGCAGUUUGUGUACGUUGCUUGCCUUAGCAAACCAGCGAACAAACCUUGCCAACGAAAAGUGUAGGAAACGUUAAGAUAUAUUUAAUCCAAAAUACAAAUUAAUUGCAAAUGCCAUAUGAACACUAUUAUGCAGGCUUAAUGUCGAGAAAUGUGAAAGAUAAGAGUAAAAUCACCAUAUGUUGUAUUGCAUUUAUAGUCAAACAAAUAUCCUAGUGUUGCAAUAUGCAGCAUCAUGUGCUGGAUUGAAAAAGUCAGUAUUGUGUUAGAUAGAUUUCUAAGAAGAAAAAAGGCAUUCACAAAGGCUAAAUACUCAAACUUAAUGUAUGGUUCAGUUUCUCUGGACUAAAAUAUGUCAAGUGCGAUAGCAUUGGGUUAGUAACAAAGUUACAAGUAUUAGAACUUUAUACAAGGAAAAUCUAUGGAACACACAGGAAAACAAAACAAACCUUGUAGAAUAAACGGACACUCUAAUUUGCAUCAUGUUCCUGACCUGACCAGUAGAGCCCUCACCCCAACUGGGUCAUCACCUAGAACCAAAACAAUAAUAAGAAUUGUUCAGUUAUGGAAUGAUAUCAUCUAACCAUUUCACAGCAUGAACCAUUAUCAUUAUAUAUUAUCAGACAAAAAAUCAUCAUAUUUGAUACUCCCUAGCAUAAAGAAGCAGAGACAAAAAACUUUGUACAGCCAUGUCACACGUGAAGGAAUACCACAAUAUAAAAGUUGAUACGAAAUUAAGAAAAAUGAUCAUUUAAGAAUUAUUUGCAUAAAUAUGCAGAAAGUGUAAAAACAAGUAACAUGCCUCCUUCAUGAAAGCGACAACAUAAACACUAGUGCUAUUACCCUAACAAGUAACAUGCCUCCUUCAUGAAAGCGACAACAUAAACACUAGUGCUAUUACCCUUAAGGCCUUGACGACAUUAGCAAGCACAUAAAUUAUAUAGAUUUGCAUAGCAUAAUAGAAUCAUACUGUUUUAUUUCGACUCAUGGCCAACCACAUUGUCGUGCUCAUCCACAAAAAUGCAUUUGUGAAAAAAAUCAAGCAAGCAUUAUCGUGAAGAAUUGUCAGUGAAUGACUUGAAUAUGAUAAAAAAUCAUGUACAAUAUCACAAGAAAAAUGGAAGGAAUUGAUCCACAAAUUCUACAAGUUUCUCUUUAAUCCAUGUUCACCCACACAAAUUUCCACACUCCACUCAAAACUAUGUACUAUAAUAACUUGCUAAAAGUGCACUUUGUAAGCAUAAUAUUGCCCUGACUUUCGAACACCGUCCAAGAUUUACAAAAAGAAAAUAUGCAUCAAUUAUACACUCAAAUACUUAAUUGAUUCAUAAAGAACUACUCAUCUAUCAUCAUCAAUUAUACAUACAGUACAUCCAUAUCCAGAUCAUUCUUUUUUAAUUACAUAUCGAACCUAAAUUCCGAAUGCAAAAACAACUUACACUACCGGAAUCGCAGGCUUUGCCGAGUGUUGUAUUCUUUGCCGAGUGCCUUUUGACGGGCACUCGGCAAAGAAGGCUUUGCCGAGUGCCGCACUCGGUAAAGUUAGGCACUCGGCAAAGCGACCUUUACCGAGUGCUGAACACUCGGUACAGGACGACACUCGGCAAAGGGGGCUCUCGGCAAACGGCCGUCAGCGGCCGUCCCAAAGCUGACGGCCGUCAGUCUUUGCCGAGAGCCAACGGCUGGCACUCGGCACAGAACCUCUUUGCCGAGUGCCACAUAGUAGACACUCGGCAAAGCAUACUUUGCCGAGUGUCUACUAUAGACACUCGGCAAAAUUUAUUUUAAUUUUUUUGAUUUUGUCUCCCAAAAUUUUUGUGGUAUGUUCCUACACUAUGUAGACCUACAUGUAUCAUUUGUGGACAAUUUUAACAGAGUUUUCAAUCGUUAGUAGAUUUAGUUCGUUUAUUUGAAUUUCUUCGAAAAAUUUAGAUUUGAACUGCAGGUCACUCGAAACUUGGAAAACCGUGCAUGCAAAAAUGAUAUUCAUGUUACUUAGCAUAAGUUACGACCGAUUCUAGGAGCGGACCGGAAACUUCGAGCAACAUGCUCACUAAACAUGGUCGUGAACUUGUCAUCCACAUGUUUAAAAAUUGUAUAAAACACAAACAAAGUCAGAAAAUCCUGAAACUUGUCCACGUGUCAUGAUAUCAUAUGUACAGGCUGCGAUAAAAAUUUUAGAAUGUUUGGAGAAAGUUGUGGGACACUAUGUGUACAAACCUAAGAGAUCCACAUUGAAACUCUAUGAUUUCAUGUGUAGUUCUCUUAGGUUUCUACACAUAGUGCCGCACUCCUUUCUCCAAACAUUCUAAAAUUUUUAUCGCAGCCUGUACAUAUGAUAUCAUAACACGUGGACAAGUUUCAUGAUUUUCUGACUUUGUUUGUGUUUUAUACAAUUUUUAAACAUGUGGAUGACAAGUUCACGACCAUGUUUAGUGAGUAUGUUGCUCGAAGUUUCCGGUCCGCUCCUGAAAUCGGUCGUAACUUGUGCUAAGUAGCAUGGAUAUCAUUUUUGCAUGCACGGUUUUCCAAGUUUCGAGUGACUUGCAGUUCAAAUCUAAAUUUUCCGAAGAAAUUCAAAUAAACGAACUAAAUCUACUAGCUAUUGAAAACACAGUUAUAAUUGUUUUAAAAUGGUACAUGUAGGUCUACAUAGUGUAGGAACAUACAACAAAAAGUUUCAUAAACAAAAUAAAAAAAUUUAAAUAUAUUUUGCCGAGUGCCCCAGCUUGGACACUCGGCAAAGAAAGCUUUGUCGAGUGCUUGUCGUGCGGCUCUCGGCAAAGUUUUUUUAAAAACCCUAAGUCUAGUCUUUGCCGAGUGCCAACAGACAGGCACUCGGCAAAGAAGCCUUUGCCGAGUGCCAGAUCAAAGGCACUCGGCAAAGUAUAUUUUUUAAUUUUAAAAAAAUCUUUGCCGAGUGCUAGAUCGCGGGCACUCGGCAAAGAAGUUAAUUAUACAGACCUGCGGGCUCUUCUUCUCCUUCCUUCUCCUUUCACUUUCCCACCGUGACACCGACGCCCGUCGCCGCCCGUCCUCGCCCGAGCGCCACCAAAGCCAUCCGCGGCCGCCCCCACGCGCUCGGCCAGCCGGCCAGCCACCACCGCCGCCGGCCUCCCUGCGCCCGCUGCCGCCCAGCCGUCUCCCUGCGCCCGCCGCCGCUCGGCUGCCGCCCCUCCAUCGUCGUCCGGCGGCUCCCACGAGCUCGGCCCGCCGCCGCCCGGUCGCCUACGCUACUCCCUGCGCCCGGCCGUCCACGUGCAACCGCCGUCCGGCCACCCGCGCGUCCACCAUCGUCGCCGGCCCCGGCCUCGAAUAGGUAUAAUUUUUUUUCUUGAUCAAAGCUUGUACUACUACUCUACAAUUAAUUGUAUAUAUAUGAUGUUCGAAAUAUUGCAUAUGCAUUAUGUUAUUCGACUAUAUCUAUAGGAAAAUAACAAUAUUUAUGAUACUAAUUUGAGUCUAAAAUCAUAAACCUUGUGAUAGAUGUGGUUCGACUACUUGUAUAUAUGAUGUCCAAUGCAUUGCAUAUAUGUCAUAGUGUCGUUGAUAUACAUGUGAAUAUCAGCCAUCGUGCUGCUACUUUUAUUUGCAGGUUUUGGAAACCUCCCCGUGCAGGGGAGGUGCUGCCGAUUUUUUUGUCGAUAUAUGUUAGAUAGCGGUAGAUAGGCACAAGUAGUGGUAGGUUUGCCGAUGGCAUGCGUGGUCCUAAGGAUGGCGGUCGUUGAUGUGAAUUCAUAUGAACAAAGUUUGGCAAUAUUUUUUUGUAUUAAUAGACUUGUGUUUCUUUUUUACAGAGAAGAUACUUGUCUUCCUAGCCGCUGCGGGUCUGCCUGCACCGCGUCGCGUCAGCACUGCACCGACCCGCCACAGCCCCACUAGCCUGACUCCACCAACACCCUAGGUAUAACCUCUAUUUCCGCAUCAUGGUCGUAGAUCACGUAAUCCAGUUAGGCGUCUCCCGUUCGAAAGAGAUACGGUGUAGAUAUGCAGAUCUUUGCAUAUCUACAAAUGUAUCAGUUUCGAAUUGUCCACGUUUUUUGGACAGCCCGCGGUUGCGUAGAUGGUGUUAGUUUCAUGCUCUACUCCGGUCCGAGAUAGAGUUUCGGCGUCACCUCCCUGUUGUUCUCCGGACAGUACACUCUCCCUGCCAGGACGUGUAUCCGGAGAACAACGGGGAGGUGCUGCCAAAAUUCUAUCUCGGAUCGGAGUAGAGCAUGGAAACUAACUCCAUCUACGCAACCGCGGGUGGGAUUAGGACCUAUCAUCACCUAUUAGAAGGUAGGAACGUAGUGUACAAGCAUUACAUGUCUAUAUUAAACUAUACUCGGUUAUAUAUGUUAGAGGAUGGAGGACCGUGAGUGGAUGUACACGGGCCGCGUUCGACGUAAUGAUGUCACCCCUGAAUGGAUUAGGAAGACCGAUGCUUUCGUGGAACGGGCAUAUGGCGAAGCUGCUAAAGGAGCUAGCCUAGUCCCUUGUCCGUGCAACAAAUGUGACAACCGGAAAAGAAAACCAAAGAAGGCCAUGGUAGAACAUAUUUGGAAGAAUGGAUUUACGCCGGACUAUACUCGGUGGAUCUUCCAUGGUGAAGUGCAUCGCACGAGAGAGCAGGUGGUGAGACAACGCGUCGAGGAUUACGAUGCUGAUGCCGGGGUAGCGGACAUGUUGAACGACUAUCACGAGGCACAGUUCGCCGAAGGACGUACGGAGGACGAGCUAGAGGCGACCGCAAAGGCAUUCUACGACAUGUUUGACGCGGCACAGAAACCCCUUCACGGCAAGACAAAGGUUUCUCAACUGGAUGCCAUUGGGCGUAUAAUGGCGUUCAAGUCGCAGUAUAGCAUGAGUCGAGACGCCUUCGAUGGUUUGUUGACAGUUAUUGGCAGCCUGCUUCCGGAGGAUCACGUUUUGCCAAAGAGCAUGUAUGAGGCACAGAAACUCCUUCGUGCACUGAAGAUGACGUAUGAGCAGAUACAUGCUUGUCCGAAGGGCUGUGUCCUAUUUAGGAAAGAACACACUGAGACAAAGUACUAUCCGAAGUGUAAAUCGUCUAGGUUCAUGGAGGUAGACUCUGGUGAUGGACAGAAGAGGCAGCUCGACAUCCCCGUGACAAUCCUACGCCACCUUCCGUUCAUACCGAGGAUCCAGCGUCUAUACAUGACAGAGGAAUCCGCGAAACAGAUGACAUGGCACAAAAAAGGCAAACGAUACAAUCCUGACAAGAUGGUUCACGCAUCCGAUGGUGAAGCAUGGACCCACUUUGAUGUCAUUCACCAUGAGAAAGCCAAAGAGGCUCGUAAUGUUCGUGUUGCGCUGGCCACAGAUGGGUUCAAUCCCUAUGGAAUGACCGCUGCCCCAUACACAUGUUGGCCCGUGUUCGUUAUCCCCAUCAAUCUCCCCCCCGGCGUAUGCUUUCAAAGAUAGAACAUAUUCGUGUCGUUGAUAAUUCCUGGACACCCAGGGAAUAAAAUGGGCGUGUACAUGGAGCCUUUGAUUGAUGAAUUGGUCCGUGCUUGGGAGGAAGGGGUAUGGACGUACGACCGAGCUACGAAGACAAACUUCAAAAUGCAUGUUUGGUACCAGUACUCCAUGCAUGACUUUCCGGCGUAUGGGCUAUUUUGCGCCUGGUGUGUUCACGGUAAGUUCCCAUGCCCACUUUGCAAGGAAGCUCUUAGGUUCAUUUGGUUGAAGAAGGGUGGCAAAUAUUCGUCAUUCGAUAAACAUCGACAAUUUCUCCCUCCUGACCAUGCAUUCCGACUAGACAUCAAGAACUUUACGAAAGGUGUCGUGGUGAUAGAUCGCCCACCUGCAAUGAUGACUGGUGCUGAAGUUCGCGAAUAGAUAGAUGGUCUCGUGGCCAACCCAGAAGGUGGUUUUGUGGGAUAUGGUGAGCAACAUAUGUGGACACAUAAGUCGGGCUUGACUCGGCUCCCCUAUUAUGAUGACCUGCUCCUUCCACACAACAUUGACGUGAUGCACACUGAAAAAAUGUCGCCGAGGCACUUUGGGCAACAAUUAUGGAGAUUCCUGAUAAGUCAAAGGAUAACGUAAAGGCAAGAGUGGAUCUGGCAGAGUUAUGUGAUAGACCAAACCAAGAGAUGAAGCCGCCUAGUGGUGGUAAGACAUGGAGAAGGCCUAAGGCCGAUUUCGUCCUAAGCAGGGCCCAGAGGAAGGAAGUACUACAGUGGAUCAAGAUGUUAAUGUUCCCUGAUGGGUAUGCAGCUAACCUUAGUAGGGGGGUGAACUUAUCUACUCUGCGAGUCUUAGGGAUGAAGAGUCAUGACUUCCACAUAUGGAUUGAACGAAUUCUUCCGGCGAUGGUUCGAGGCUAUGUCCCUGAGCAUGUCUGGCUAGCGCUUGCAGAGUUGAGCUAUUUCUUCCGCCAGCUUUGUGCAAAAGAGUUAGCUCGGACCAUGAUUGCAGACUUGGAAAGGAUGGCACCCGUGUUACUGUGUAAGCUGGAGAAGAUCUUUCCACCCGACUUCUUCAAUCCGAUGCAGCAUUUGAUUAUUCAUCUCCCGUAUGAGGCACGAAUGGGGGGGCCCGUGCAGGGACGUUGGUGCUAUCCAAUCGAGAGAUGUCUAAAGAGUAUCCGAAAGAAAUGUAGAAAUAAAUGCAAAAUCGAGGCUUCCAUUGCAGAGGCAUACAUACUGGAGGAGGUGUCAAACUUCACAACAACUUACUAUGGUGACAAACUGCCGAGCGUGCAUAAUCCACCCCCUCGUUACAAUGAUGGCGGCAAUGAAUCGAACCUCAGCAUUUUUCGAGGGCAACUCGGAAGCGCGAGUGGUUCGACCACCAAGACCCUGAGACAUGAAGAGUGGCGCCAUAUCAUGCUAUAUGUAUUGACCAACCUUGAAGAGGUGACGCCAUACAUGGAGCAAUUUCUUCAUGAAUUCUGGCGUCGAUCAAGGGACCCAACUCCACAGGAAUAUGAUACCCUUCUUAGAAAGGGUGCGGGAAAUGGAUUGCCCGAUUUCAUUUCCUGGUUUAAACAUAAGGUACGUGCUUAGUUUGUCAUUUCAAGUUGCUCUUACGUGCGAAUAAUAUAACAAUCUAGCGUGUUUGAACUUGCAGGGCCAAAGAGAGCCGUCUAUGAGUGUCGAGUUGAGACAAGUAGCCAAUGGCUUUGCCUAUAGGGUCAGGAAAUUUUCUGGGUAUGACGUCAAUGGAUACCGUUUUUGCACAACAAGCUACGACCAAAGUCGGCCCAAUCGAAAAACCACGUGUUCUGGAGUCUUUACGCCCGGGCUUGACGAGGUCGAGUAUUAUGGAAGAAUUGAAGAAAUAUAUGAACUCAAUUUUUAUGGUUCCAAACCUCUUACUCCAGUGAUAUUCAAAUGUCAUUGGUUUGACCCUGAAGUUACGAGACGGACACAUUCUAAUCUUGGGCUAGUCGAAAUUCGACAGGAUUCCACCUUACCAGGAGACGAUGUCUAUAUUGUGGCCCUACAGGCCACACAAGUGUAUUAUCUUCCAUAUGCGUGCCAAACGAAACAACAUCUUAAGGGUUGGGAUGUUGUGUAUAAGGUAUCACCGCACGCUAAAUUACCUGUUCCAAACGAUGAAGAUUAUAACUUAGACCCGGACACAUAUGACGGAGAGUUCUUCCAAGAAGAUGGGCUCGAAGGGCAAUUUGAGAUAGACUUAACCGAAGCGAUCGGAAUGGAAAUAGAUAUUGAAAUGGUUGUUGAUGACGAGGAUGAUGAGGUGCAAAAUGAGAAUGACUUAGAAAUACUUGAAGGCAAUGCCAAUGACGAAAUUGCGCCUUCAGAUAAUGUUGACUAUGAAAUGGUUGAUAGUGAUGAUGACACUUAUGAUCCGGCUAACCCGGACACAUAUGAAGAUUAUUUUUAAUCGAUGUAAUGCUAUAUUUCAUUUAUUUUGCAUAUGUUUCUAAAUACAUAUUUUUUAUCUGUGCUUAAUUGUUUACUCUUAAUUGCAGGUUGUUGGACAAAGAUGGUGGGCGGUGGGACGAGGACGAGGAGGGGGAGGGGGAGGGGGAGGAGGAGCACCCGUAGGACGGAGGAGGAGGCGCAGCAGGACGACGCCGUACAGCAGCAGGUGGAGCAGCAAGCCGCUGUCGAUGCGGCACAGCAGGACGACGACGAUGCGGUGCAGCAGGACGACGACGACGACGACGCCGCUCAGCAGGACGUCUCAGGUUCUGGCUCCUCAGGUUCAAGGAGUAUCUACCUGCGAGGUCUCGCGAGCCUCCCUAAGCGACCCAUACUCCGUGACAGACGUCCGUUGAUACGACCCGAUGGAGAAAGGUAGGUAACUUUAGAUGUUGUUGCUGCUUUUUCAUAUUAUAUGUUCAAAUUAAUAAUAGAAACUAAUACUUCAUCUUAAUCACUUGGAUAGGUCUUGGAUGGUUUUGGAGACUGCAGGGGGUCAUGGCCGCAACCCCAAUGGCAUCCUCGGCCUUCUAUGCCGGGAACACUUCCCUGGACUUGUCGAGUACGCCGGAGUGACGAGCCCAGCAUACACCUUCGACCACUACGCCGUCGCCCCCGAUGCAGUAGAUCGGGACGGCAGACAAUUCAACAACAAGGCGGAGCGGGUGAAGCAAGAGCUGUGGGUAAGUCUUCCUCGCACUAUAUUGUUUAAUAAGUCGCAUUUGUUGCAUAUUCUUGAAAUAAUGUAUGGAUACAUCGUCUUUGUAUGUAGGAUUUCUUCAGGUGCGAUGCUGGAUAUGAGGCCAGGGCGGAUGUGGUGUCUACGACGUGCUGUAAGAAGCUCGUCGUGGACAUGCACUACGAGGCGCGCAUCCAGGCCAUCGUCACUUACCACGGCUCCGUCCUUGGGGAGAAGGUGAACAAGAAGGACGCCCGAACCAUGUCAUUGACUCCGGACCUGUAUUUGCAGGUAAAUACAAAACUUUAUUAUUGGUACUAAAUAUGCUUAUUUUUAUCUUCUGAUAUGCAGUGUACUUAUAUUUUUUUAGAUGAUUCCUCAUUGGUGCGCCGCGCAUCCUGAGUGCUGGGAGCAGAUGGUGCAGAGGUGGUGCUCGGCUGAGUGGGAUGAGGCGCACAACGCUAGCCGGGAACGGCGUUUGCUGAUGCAAGGUCCCUCCCACCAUCAAGGCAGCCGCAGCCUGGGCAAAUACGCGGAAGCAUGGGUACGCGCUCUUUUUUAUUUAGGUAUAUAACUUUCGAUUAGACAUGAUUUCUAACCAUCUCGUUGGUUUUCUCGCAGUCGGCGGCACAUGGUGGCGCGCCUUGCUCCACGUUCUCGGCAUAUGCCAUGGCCCACAAGGGGAAGGCGACGUCCGACGUCACCUACAACCCGGAUGACGGGCCCGAGGCGUACACCAACCCCGCCAUCCACAGCCGACUCAGUGAGUACGCCGCCAUGGCCAAGGAGGUCCAUGGGCCAGAUUACGAUCCGAGGACCGAGGACAUCGACGGAGAUGUCCUCAUGAGGGUCGGAGGAGGCAAGAGGCAUGGGCGGUACUGGAUUGCCGACGGGGCAAUCGACUCGUCCUCCACUCCCACUCUCUCUCAGGUGCGAGCAAGGAGCACGAGCGUGAGCCCAGCCAUACGACCUCGGCAGGACACCUCACAGCAUCGUAUCCAGCAACUCCAGGUUAUUCCUUAUCUAUUCAUCGUUCAUUGAUUUUUAUAUAUCUUCUCUUUGCAUUAUUGUAACAUUAGGGCGAAAUAUUACAGACUCAGCUAGAUGAUGAGAGGAGGCAAUGUGAGGAGCUGGAGAAGAGGAUGGCGGAGAUGUUCGCGUACAUGCAGAGCCUUGGCGCCGCACAGGGUCAUGCUCCACCACCUCUGUUGUUCCCUGCAGCUGACCCUACAGAGUUCACUACUCCUGUGAGUAUCAAAAUUUUAGUACUGCAUGAUAUAUAUUCAUAUGUUCUCACACAUACAAUCUCUUCUCUGUGCAGGGUCAAUCAGCGGCGUCGAACAACCCUCAUGCUUCGUCCAGCCCUUCACCGAACCAGUCUAGAUGCCCACCUCGUUGAUGAUCUGUUUUGUGAUGAUCCAGACUUACCUUUAUGAGUGUUGGUGAUGUUAGUUAGACUUUAUCUUGUGAGAUACUUGGUGAUGUUAGUGAUGAUGCAGACUUAUAUCUGUUUUGUGAUGAUCCUGACUUAUAUUUGUGAGACUUUUGUGAGACUUUGUGAUAUAUAUGGUGUUGAUGAUAAAUGUGUUCAUUCUGUGAUGUGAUUGAUAUAUAAUGUGAUGUGAAUGAUAUAUAUCUUUUGUUUGUUUGGAUGGAGCAACAAAAGCAAAUAAAAAAGGGACAUCCUGGUCACUUUGCCGAGUGUAACACUCGGCAAAGGGUCGCUUUGCCGAGUGCUAUGACCAUGGCACUCGGCAAAGAAGGAAACCUGGGAACCGGUAAAGCCAUCUUUGCCGAGUGCUGACAAUGACACUCGGCAAAGAAGGAAACCUGGGAACCGGCAAAGACAUCUUUGCCGAGUGCUGUUGCCAAGGCACUCGGCAAAGAUACUGGCAAAGGGGCCCACUGGAGGGUUCUUUGCCGAGUGCCAGUCCACCAGACACUCGGCACAGGGACUGGCGGUGGGGCCCACUGGACCAGUCUUUGCCGAGGGCCUCUCGAGCAAACACUCGGCAAAAUUGGCCUCUUUGCCGAGUGCCACAGAAGGCACUCGGCAAAGGAUCCGUCACCGUCACUUGGCGCCGUGACGGUGACUUUUCUUUGCCGAGUGCCCGACAAAAAGUACUCGGCAAAGAGGCUGUUGCCGAUGUACAGUUCGUCGAGCGUUCUUUGCCGAGUGUUACACUCGGCAAAGCAUUUGCCGAGUGUAAAAUAGCCUUUGUCGUGUGUCUCAGACACACGACAAAGGAGCUGAUUCCGGUAGUGUUAGUUACAGUACAUAACUCCUUACUCAUGUUUAGAUGGUGGUAUAACUUUGGCACCUUGUCGAGGCAAAAGAAACAAUAAAAAUAAACAAAUAGAUUGGAGUAAUUCUAGUGGAUUCAUAUUCCUUGGCUUAACUAGUAACCACAAUUUCAGAAAACACAUAUAGCACAUGUUCUAAAGCAGAUAAGCAGUAGCGUAGGCCGCAGGGCAAUCCAAAACUAACGCAACACCGUGCAAGCCAAGCCAAAUUCACCGUGGCACUGUGUGGCAUGAGAGAUGGAUGGAUCGUGGUAGUGACUUACGUGAAUGGGAGGUCAGGCGCGGAUCAGAGGAUGGAGCGAGAUCUGUCCCAAUCGGACCAACAGGAAGGGGUCAGGAGAAGGAAGAGAAGACAGAGCAUGUUACGUACGUUCUGAGGCAUGGCUGGAGUGCGCAGAGGUGUUGUUGAGGAGUGCGAAGGAAACACGGAGUACGUUCAUCGGGCGACGGGCACAAAACCGACGGGCGAGGC
rnacentral:lncRNA from 1 species